GUAAUUCUUGAAUUCUUCUCAUUUUGGGCCUAUGUGGCAAAAAAAAAAAGGGGUAGACAAUAUUUUCUGGAUUCUUGUUAUUGUCAUGAUGCUUGAUCAAAGAUUACCACUAAAUAGUAUAGACAGUUGUGUCACUGUUUGUACAUGUGUCUUUAUACAGAUUCAUUUUCAACAGCUGCUGGUCUGCUGACUGCACCUGAUGUUACUUGCAAGUUCUUACAGUCAUUUCUCAACAGACUUGAUAGCCACAGCAACCAAGUGUCAUUAGCAGUGUUAGCUAAUUCUUCCUCUUUCUCCAGGGCAUUCAUUACAACACACAUUCCCAAACAGAUCCUUGCAACAUUUUAUUGCUUAAUUCUUUUUCUUGGUUUUGAUACAGAAAAAUAAGAGAUUUUCUGCUAGAUUAGGUCAAUCCAAGCAGCAAGCUCUGGGGAACUGUACUGUGGUAGUAGCUUGACCACCCUGACCAUGGCGUUGAUAGAACAGAAUGAGGCUCUGCAUAUCACUUAACUGCAGCACAAAGCCCUGCAAUUUACUUAAGGUGAUGAUGGAGGUAGGUUUACUCUUAUGAUAGACAGAUGAGCCCUGCAAGUCUUGCCAUGGUCACUUAAAGCAUCAUCACACCCAGCAUUACCCUGAGGGUUGCUCUGUCAGAAUUAGGGUGGUCUAACAUAGCCAUCAGAAGAGACCAUGUGCCCAUCCUUCAGCUGCCACAGUUAGUGUUUCACAUUCAGCUCAAAGCCACCUUCAGCAGCAGAGAAAAGGGCAGUAGCUCUCCACUGGAGUAAAGGGCUGUGGGUGUGAGUUGCUUUUUUGCCAGUUCCCUCUCAUCAGGAGUAAUAUGUGCAGGUGGUAACACUUUAAAUCAGCACAGCAUUACUACUGAAGGAUGUUUCUGAAAGCGUUAAAAGACUGGUCUGUGCACUAGAUCACCUCCAGUUUCGGGAUAUUUUCGCUUCUGAUGGCUUUGCUCUGGUGGCAGUGGCCUCUGGAACAAGGACAGAGCAGGCAAGUCAUAAUUUACAGUACAGCAGCAAGGUCCAUCAGAGUGCUCUCUAAAAUGCCUUAAAAUGAAGCAAGCAUAAUGCAGAACGUUGCAGCCAAGAUCUCUGGGAUCUUAGGGCCUGGGCUUGAAGCAUACUAACAUGCAUUUUGGGGGGAUUUUUUUGGUUGCAUUGAAUUUGUCUAAAUUAAUUGAUUCUUUUUUCCUGCAAGGGAGGAGUUUUUGUCUGGAGACUGUAGAAAAUGUGCACACUCUUCUGGAGAUGGUCUUCCUGAAUGUGCAAUUACAAAAAUGCCUUCCUUUACCUAUUGAUUUUAGGAGAAGAAUGCACUUUCUGGUUUCCUUCCUUUUCCUUGAUUGCUGCUUCUCCUUCACCAUCUGCCCAACUGUCACCUUUCUGGAUUGGAAGUGCUACAGGAUCUUCCCUUCAGACCUCAUCUGCUUCAUUUUUAAGUAUUUGCUGAAGUGGUUCAAGCAGUUCUUGGCAAGAGACUACUCCCCGACCGUGUGACUUGGUGGAUUUGUGACACCUGUCUCUUGCUGUUUCAUCAUGUGUUGCAAACUUUGUCAUAUGAGAGUGGAAUUGCUGGUAGGAAGUACGGGCUUCAUUAAUGAGUUCUGUUUCACAGCUAAUCCAUGUUUACUGAUUGACGUGCAUAUGUAUUUUAGUUUCACUUGUCCCAUCUUAUAUCUCUGUUGCUAUUUUGUGUCACACUCCUACCUUUUGCAUUUUAUGUACAGAUCCAGUUGGACUAGGAGUUAGCUGUUGCUGAAAGAGGCAAACUGUCUUUCCCCUGCCCCAGCUGUAUAGCACAUUCUUACCACUUCCCUCUUGUAUCACUCAGUUGUUUAUUAUCAAGUAAUAAGUAACAAACAAACUAAUUGAUUUAAUGUUAUUGGAUCUAAAAUUAAUCUCUGAAUAUUAAUUAUAAGAAUCCAUUAUAAUUCUCAUUAUAAGAACUUUUCUGUGAAGAAAUGUGGAAUUUGAGAAAUUCUCUUCUGUGUUUUGGGCUUUCUAGCAGACAGAAUACAGAUUCACUAACUGGUUUUACACAUCCUGGAGUGGCAGAGCCUGGAAGAUACCCCUGGAGAUCAUCUAGUCCACCUUCCAGCUCAGAGAAGGGUCAGUUUGAGCAGUUGGGUUUUGAGUAUCUCCCAUGGAUGAAGACUUCACAACCCCUCUGGGUUUUUUGUUCCUAAACAUCCCAAGAUAAAAUGAAGGAACUACAAAUGCCACAACACAUAUGAGGACACCUUCUGGAUAAAUGGGUUUGCUACUGUGUGCAUUUCACUGAGAGCUCUAUUGAGAGAACAAAACCCCUGCAAAGAUCUAAGCAAGUGUUUCAUUUUAGAUAGUGAAAGCAAUUCUCCAAAGUUUUGUUGUCCAGAUAAAGACCAAGGAAGUGCAAUAUUUCAGUCAUAAAUAUGUAAGGUUAGUUUCCUGUAAGAAAUUAGUACCUGUGUCUUAGCUUAUCAAAAGCCAGAAUCCUGUUACGGCAUUACUUAUUGGAAGACCAUUCCGUAUCAUAGAAUCAUAGAAUGGUUUGUUUUGGAAAGGACCUUAAGAUCAUCUAGUUCCGACCCCCCACCCUGUGCAGAGACACCACAAUUAAAUUUCAUGAUCUACAUAUGAGACUGCUGUAAUUUGAUCUGAAUUUUCCUUUAAAAUGGUCUGGGAGCUAUAGUGUUAAGAAAUGACAUCUGUCUUGUUGAGUUGAGGGAAGGUAAUGCAACCAAUAGCACUCAACUUUAUCCCGUGCUGUUGUCUGGCAACCUGAUAACUACAGAUAAAAAUUCUUAUUCCUGUAUUUACAUAGGCAUUUGUAGUCUCCUUCCUGAACAAUCUUUGCUUACUGGCUGUGGCUAAUUAUUCCUUGUCCUAGAUCCAGAGGCCACCUCUGAAUGAGGAACUGGAAAGAGUCAAAACAGUUCAGAAAUCCCAUUUAUGUAAUGCUUUUCAAAUCCUUGUUAUGAUAUUCAGAAAAUAAAUAAUUGAUUUAUUUAAUUACUAUGGCUUCUUCUCUUAUCAUAAUGCUUUGGAUUAUUUUUUAUCGCUUGCAGGAUGAUUUGCUGUGAGAAUAGCUGAUUUCUUGGCUAAAUGUAAUUUUAAUUUGUAUGUAGCUAGCUUAGUGGUUUUCACAAUCUGUAUUUUGAUAGCACUGUGACAGUGCAGGUUAUAUUUAUGCCAGUUAACAAAUCAUAUAGUUUUCUGUGACUGAAAACAGACUGAGACAUGCCCAACCUGUUGUACUGCAUUCAUUCAGGUGACCUGCCCUAAAAAUUAUUUGACACAUCAGUAAAGAAGGAAUACUGAAAGCAACUGGAUCCAGUUUUUGUGAAGUCUCUGCCUGCCUAGCCCCUCUGAACGAAAUAUUUUUCUACAAAAAAGAACUAUCAGGUAGGAUAAGAAUUGUGUGGUAUGAACGCAUGAAUCAAAUGUCUGUACAAGGAGAAAGCAGUUGAUGGCUCCCAAUAGUGGAUACACAGGAACAUCAUGGAUGAGAUAAGGUUUCUGCUCAGUAGGAAAUUGUUAGGGUGAGAGCUCAGCCAUCAACACAAGAAAGAGGACUUAUAUGACAGAGAAGGUAGGGUUACUGUUAUCUAGCUGAAAUACUAACAAACUUGAGAGUGUUAUGAAAUAGAAGCUGAGAUGGGAUUGGGCAUCUCAGAAUUGUCAUUAAAAUGCUCUAAACCCAGAAGAUGUUGUGGUUGGAGAUUCUUUGCCCUGUUUCUCUUGCUUUUUGUAGUAAGCUGUCUCAAAGAAGGGUUUCAUUAGAGUUUCAGCAUGCUGCUGGCUUAGGUUGGGCCCUGCAGAGAUUGUAUUAGGAGAUCUUAAGGUGCCUCAACCCCAGACAGGGGCCUUUAUGGGUCCUUUAGAACCAGAGUUAGAGACAAUGCCUCAUAUUCAUCUGGAAGUCCUUAACAGACUUGUUUUCAUAGGCAGGAAUGUGCUUAGAUCGUAAUGUUAACUAUGUCAGAACGUGGUUUUAUUUUUUUUAACAAAAAUUACUAUACCAGGGUAAUCUUAACCGUCAAACUGGGAUGUGUAUACUUUGCAUUGUGCAUUGUUUCCUUUUAUGUACUGUUUGUCAUUAACAGUCUUGGCAUGACUGCUUCACAGGUAGUAAAUAUAUUCUGGCAUUAUUAAAGCAGUUCCACUUCCUUUGCAGGCAAAGCCUCAGAGAUGGUAUCUCUGGAGAGGGACAUUGGAACUGACGAAAAGUUGCCAACUGCUAUUUAACUGUUAACCAGCAUGCCAGGUACCAUCUUUCUGAGUCACCAUCCCUGACCACCUCUGCAUUAAGAUUUACACUGGCCUGCUCUGGUCCAUAGGUCAUUAUUUUGGCAACUGUAAAAAUUGAGUUAUAAAAAAUUACUGUGUUUUUUUUUCUCUUUUUUUAGUUCAUUAUAUAUGUUCAGCUAAAAAUAAAAGGAAUUGGAGAAAGCA